GACGAACGCUGGCGGCGUGCUUAACACAUGCAAGUCGAACGGAAAGGCCUGCUUUCCCUUGUGGAUUGCGGGUACUCGCGUGGCGAACGGGUGAGUAACACGUGAGUGAUCUGCCCCCAACUUGGGUAUAAGCCUGGGAAACUGGGUCUAAUUCCCGAUAGGACUGCAGGGUGGUGCCUGUGGUGGAAAACGAUUUUCUAGUGGUUGGGGAUGAGCUCGCGGCCUAUCAGCUUGUUGGUGGGGUAAUGGCCUACCAAGGCGGCGACGGGUAGCCGGCCUGAGAGGGUGGACGGCCACAUUGGGACUGAGAUACGGCCCAGACUCCUACGGGAGGCAGCAGUGGGGAAUAUUGCACAAUGGGCGGAAGCCUGAUGCAGCGACGCCGCGUGGGGGAUGACGGCCUUCGGGUGGUAAACUCCUUUCGACCGCGAGGAAGCCACCUGGUUGGAAGGGUGGUGACGGUAGUGGUAGAAGAAGCACCGGCUAACUACGUG
rnacentral:rRNA from 1 species